UUACGGGAGGCAGCAGUGGGGAAUAUUGGACAAUGGGGGCAACCCUGAUCCAGCAAUGCCGCGUGAGUGAUGAAGGCCUUAGGGUUGUAAAGCUCUUUUGCCAGGGAAGAUGAUGACUGUACCUGGAGAAUAAGCCCCGGCUAACUUCGUGCCAGCAGCCGCGGUAAUACGAAGGGGGCUAGCGUUGUUCGGAAUUACUGGGCGUAAAGGGCGCGUAGGCGGCCGUUUAAGUUAGGUGUGAAAGUCCUGGGCUCAACCUGGGGACUGCACUUAAUACUGGAUGGCUUGAAUUCGGGAGAGGAUAGCGGAAUUCCCAGUGUAGAGGUGAAAUUCGUAGAUAUUGGGAAGAACACCGGUGGCGAAGGCGGCUAUCUGGACCGACAUUGACGCUGAGGCGCGAAAGCGUGGGGAGCAAACAGGAUUAGAUACCCCGGUAGC
rnacentral:rRNA from 1 species